AUUGAACGCUGGCGGCAUGCUUUACACAUGCAAGUCGAACGGUAACAGGGUGCUUGCACCGCUGACGAGUGGCGAAUGGGUGAGUAAUGCGUCGGAACGUGCCGAGUAGUGGGGGAUAACGCAGCGAAAGUUGUGCUAAUACCGCAUACGUACUGAGGUAGAAAGUGGGGGACCUUCGGGCCUCACGCUAUACGAGCGGCCGACGUCUGAUUAGCUAGUAGGUGAGGUAAAGGCUCACCUAGGCAACGAUCAGUAGCGGGUCUGAGAGGAUGAUCCGCCACACUGGGACUGAGACACGGCCCAGACUCCUACGGGAGGCAGCAGUGGGGAAUUUUGGACAAUGGGCGAAAGCCUGAUCCAGCCAUGCCGCGUGUCUGAAGAAGGCCUUCGGGUUGUAAAGGACUUUUGUCAGGGAGGAAAUCCCUAGUGCUAAUAACACUGGGGGAUGACAGUACCUGAAGAAUAAGCACCGGCUAACUACGUGCCAGCAGCCGCCGUAA
rnacentral:rRNA from 1 species